rnacentral:lncRNA from 1 species
AAAGAUGGUGUAUAAUGGUGGAAAAUAAAUCUGCCUUCACCUAUUAUACAUAUAGGUGAUAAUAGUAAUGUAACAUACCAGAAUUUGGUAUAAAAAUAAAAAUAAAUAAAAAUAGAGUGAGAUACUAUUUUUAUUGGAUUUGGAGAAGUAAAACAUAAGUCAAGAGUGACUUGUGCUGAAAUUGGAAUGAAAACAGAAGGUUUAGAAUUUUCUGUUGGAAACGGGACAGAUAAAUUAGCAGAAAAUGCAUAGUCUCAGAAAAUUAUGAAAAUUAGAGGAUAAGUCAGAAUUAUUUUUAUGAGGCUAGAUUUAAAGUUUCAUGUCAUUCUGACACCCGAAAGAUGGAAAAUAAAAUCCGACAGUUAUCUGAUAAAGAUUACAGUUCGGUACAGUUUUCGCUGACCAAACGGGGUCGAAACUGAAAUAUUAAUAUUUUUUUUACUCGUUAAGUAAAACCGAAUAUGACUGU